UACGGAGGGUGCAAGCGUUACUCGGAAUUACUGGGCGUAAAGCGUGCGUAGGUGGUUUGUUAAGUCUGAUGUGAAAGCCCUGGGCUCAACCUGGGAACGGCAUUGGAAACUGGCUUACUAGAGUGCGGUAGAGGGGUGUGGAAUUCCCGGUGUAGCAGUGAAAUGCGUAGAUAUCGGGAGGAACAUCUGUGGCGAAGGCGACACCCUGGACCAGCACUGACACUGAGGCACGAAAGCGUGGGGAGCAAACAGG
rnacentral:rRNA from 1 species